AGAAUGCUUACACAUGCAAGUCAACUUGAAUUUGGGUUUUAACUUAGGUUUGGGUGGCGGACGGGUGAGUAACGCGUAAAGAACUUGCCUCACAGCUAGGGACAACAUUUGGAAACGAAUGCUAAUACCUAAUAUUAUGAUAAUAGGGCAUCCUAUAAUUAUGAAAGCUAUAAGCGCUGUGAGAGAGCUUUGCGUCCCAUUAGCUAGUUGGAGAGGUAACGGCUCACCAAGGCGAUGAUGGGUAGCCGGCCUGAGAGGGUGAUCGGCCACAAGGGGACUGAGACACGGCCCUUACUCCUACGGGAGGCAGCAGUGGGGAAUAUUGGACAAUGGACCAAGAGUCUGAUCCAGCAAUUCUGUGUGCACGAUGAAGUUUUUCGGAAUGUAAAGUGCUUUCAGUUGGGAAGAAAGAAAUGACGGUACCAACAGAAGAAGUGACGGCUAAAUACGUGCCAGCAGCCGCGGUAAUACGUAUGUCACGAGCGUUAUCCGGAUUUAUUGGGCGUAAAGCGCGUCUAGGUGGUUAUAUAAGUCUGAUGUGAAAAUGCAGGGCUCAACUCUGUAUUGCGUUGGAAACUGUAUAACUAGAGUACUGGAGAGGUAAGCGGAACUACAAGUGUAGAGGUGAAAUUCGUAGAUAUUUGUAGGAAUGCCGAUGGGGAAGCCAGCUUACUGGACAGAUACUGACGCUGAAGCGCGAAAGCGUGGGUAGCAAACAGGGUUAGAUACCCUGGUAGUCCACGCCGUAAACGAUGAUUACUAGGUGUUGGGGGUCGAACCUCAGCGCCCAAGCAAACGCGAUA
rnacentral:rRNA from 1 species